rnacentral:rRNA from 1 species
CGGUACCUGAAGAAUAAGCACCGGCUAACUACGUGCCAGCAGCCGCGGUAAUACCUAGGGUGCAAGCGUUAUCCGGAUUUACUGGGUGUAAAGGGAGCGUAGACGGUGUGGCAAGUCUGAUGUGAAAGGCAUGGGCUCAACCUGUGGACUGCAUUGGAAACUGUCAUACUUGAGUGCCGGAGGGGUAAGCGGAAUUCCUGGUGUAGCGGUGAAAUGCGCAGAUAUCAGGAGGAACACCGAUGGCGAAGGCAGGUCUCUGGGCUGUUACUGACGCU